AAUUCCGUUUCGAAGUGUGCGCUUGUUCGCACCGCCUAUCGAAAGGGAAUACGGUUAAAAUUCCGUAACCGGGAUGUAGAUUCUGAACGGCGACGUUAAUGAACUUGGAGACGCCGGUGAGGGCCCUGGGAAGAGUUAUCUUUUCUCCUUUACAACUUGUAACCCUGGAAUCAGAUUAUCUGGAGAUAGGGUCUAAUGGUUGGUAGAGCUUUGC
rnacentral:rRNA from 1 species